GGAAGGAUCAUUAACACGUAUCCAACGUUAAAACCCCUGUGAACCUUACAUCACGGCUGCUUCUCCGCAUGGGGCUGGUAUCUCACACAGACUGCGAUUGAUUCAGUUCCCCCCGUUAAGCGGUUCGUUUCCCUGUUAUCUCUAGGCUUUCCAAUCUUUUGUGUCGCAUUUGCCUUCGACCGCCACGUCGGUAACUCAUCGACCGACAGCGCAUUGAUUCGGCGUGGUAGGGAAGGUGAUAACAAAUAAUAUAAUAAGGGUGCGGCAUGUAGGGGAGAAGGAAAGGCAUGUUACCGGUGAUGUGGUGGCUUCUCCAUCACUACUACACCGUUUGUGUAACAUGGUAGCUCUCGACUGAACACCGACUGAGGGCAGACUAGAGAUCUGGACGCCACUUUGGAACUACGCCAAGGUGGAGCACGUCCCCUCCUGUAUAUACCCCAACCAAACGUAAGUAGUCCCAGGAUGCACCGGGCGCGGUGAUUAAGUUGGCGAAAGGUCCCAAGUGGGACUGGACGCACUCCUGGUUUCAGACAUUAAAUUACCGUACAACUGUUAGCAAUGGAUAUCUAGGUUUCCGGAACGAUGAAGAACGCAGCGAAAUGCGAUACGUAAUGCGAAUUGCAGAAUUCAGUGAAUCAUCGAAUCUUUGAACGCAAAUUGCGCUCUCGGGUUACCCCUGAGAGCACACCUCUCUGAGUGUCGGUUUAACCAAAUGUUACCCAUUUAUGGGAAACGAGAGUCUGAGGUAAGGGGUCUUGCAUUCCUUUCCCUUUAAAUCCAGCCGCACGACUGUGAGUGUUCGUGGCAAGUUGCUUUCACCUAACCGUGAAUACGAUUCACCACGAACCCUAUGUCACGUGGCCCAAAGAAACAACUUUGAGGGUAAAGGGACAAAGAAAACGGUGGGGUUCUGCCUCGCUUAUUAUCUGAAUCCAUUUUCCUUCUCUCUAUGAAUCAGACCUCAGAUGAAGUGGGAAGACCCCCUGAAUUUAAGCAUAUUAUUAAGGGGAGGAAAAGAAACUAACAAGGAUUCCCCCAGUAACGGCGAGUGAAGCGGGAAGAGCUCAAAUUUAAAAUCCCCCGGUCUAACAGCCGGAGGAGUUGUAAUCUAGAGAGGGUCUCUCAGGGCCAGCCUGGUUAUAAGUCCCUUGAAACAGGGUGUCAAAGAGGGUGAGAACCCCGUCUUAGAACCGGAGCUAAGUCCGUACGAGGACCUUUCCAAGAGUCGCGUUGCUUGGGAGUGCAGCGCUAAAUGGGUGGUAAAGUUCAUCUAAAGCUAAAUACUGCCGGAAGACCGAUAGCGAACAAGUACCGUGAGGGAAAGAUGAAAAGAACUUUGAAAAGAGAGUUAAAAAGUACUUGAAAUUGUUAACAGGUAAGGCUAGGAAACCACUAAUUCGCUGCGCACAUUCGCUUUCGCUUCGGCGGGGGUUAUUUGUGUGUGACGAGAGUCGACAUCCAUUCGGAUUCGUUGGAGAAAGAGUGGAGGCUGGUGCCUUGCUUCGGCUUGGUUUAGCCUCUGUUCACUACAUUGAGCUGGAUGGAGGAAAAUCGACAACCCGCCCUUUUCGGAGGUCGGUACCUGGGGCCUAUUUGUCCUAGCGCGUGAGAGAACAAAGUUCUGUCCGUGCGAAAGAUGGAUACUGCCUUGGAUGUGCCAGAUGCUGGGUUAGCGAUGUUGACGAAAUGGUUUUCUGGCGCCCGUCUUGAAACACGGACCAAGGAGUCUAACAUAUAUGCGAGUAUUUGGGUGACAAACCCUGAUGCGUAAUGAAAGUAAAGGGCCGCAAGGCUUGAGGUAGGAAUCCUGCUCUCGGGUGGGAGGCACUAUCGACCGAUCGUUCGCUUGCGGAAGAUUUGAGUAAUAGCAUAUCUGUUGGGACCCGAAAGAUGGUGAUCUAUGCCUGAACAGGGUGAAGCCAGGGGAAACUCUGGUGGAAGCUCGUAGCGAUACUGACGUGCAAAUCGUUCGUCUGAUUUGGGUAUAGGGGCGAAAGACUAAUCGAACCAUCUAGUAGCUGGUUCCCUC
rnacentral:misc_RNA from 1 species